ACCCCCCCUCCCUCCGGCUAAAAACAAAAUCGGAUUCACAAUUCCUCGCCGUCCCUUCCCCCUCCCAUCGCUUGCCCCUCGCUCCUCUUCCUCUCCGCGCCGCCUCCCUUCGAAUCGAAAUCCCUCUCCGCCAUGCCGAAGGGCGCCAAGAAGCGCGCCAAGCUCAAGAAGCAGCAGCAGCAGCAGGGCCACCCCGACGAUGGCGGCAACACCAACAACGCCAGCAACGGCAACGGUAACGGCAGCGAUGACAACAACAACGCCUCGAGCGGCCGCGACGGCGAGCACCACCUGCGGAUCCCACCCAAAGUUUCUCGCGUGGAUGCGAGCGAGGACUCCAUGGAGAGCUCCGAGGAGAUGGUGACCCCCCGGGCCGCCGCGUCGGAGCCGGACGAGGAGGAGAGGAAGGCCACCGCGGCCGAGGUGUCCGUGGAGCGCGCCGUCGAGGCGGACGUCGCCGGGUCUGGGGAGGUCAUGGUGGACGCGUUUCCGCCGGAAACCGCUGGGCAGGAACGUGAGGGCAAGGUGGAUGAGGCAGAGGUGGAGGUGCACGCUGCGGUGGCACAGGAACCAGAGGUGAAGGAUGUGUUGGUGGCCGAGGAAUCCGUGGUGCAGGAGCCAGUGGCUGAUGCACCGGAGGUGGAGGCUUCAGAGGUGAAGAAGGAGGUGGCCAAGGUGCAUCCCGUGCUUGAAUCUGAGCCGAAGGUUGAUGAAGUGGUGGUGGUCGAGGAAACGCCUGUAGCUCCUGAGGUACAUGAAUCAGAGGUGAAGGACGCCGGUGCUCAUGUUGUGCUGAAGGAACCAGAGACGAAUAGUGGCAAUGUGGUGGUCAAGGACUCUGCUGAAGUGUCGCGAUCGCAGGAGGAUGUUGAUGUGCAUACUACAGAGGUGGCGCGUGGACCUGCAGUGGCAGCUUCAGUGCAGCGGGCAACAUGCUGGAAUUGCUGCGGCCUUUUUGAUGCAUUUACUGGUUCAGGGAGAUAGAUGAAGCAGCUCUGCUGGAUACCGCUGUUCAGAAAUAGACAAUUGUUUUCCUGGCUUCUGAGGAUGAGAUGAAACGGUUGGAAUUUGAAGUCAAGAAGUUCAGUUCAAAGCUGAUAAGCAGUUGUAACUAGACUCUGUUUGAAUAGUCACAUGAAUGAUGAAGCAGAAGGAUUUGGGAUAACAUCGAGCUGAUGUCUCUACUUUCUUCCUCCCUGUGUCUCUGCAUCUGUGCAAAGUUACACGGGGUCGUGGUUAAUAUUCUUAAUUUCCUUAGCAUCCCCAACACCUAGCCCCCUUUGUCUAGUGUCGUCUAGGUACUGCUGUCCUUGUAGCAUAAGAGUUGAAGUGGGUCGACCGUAAAGAAAUUUUGCUGUUUCUGCCUUUAUACUUAUUUUUUCUGGGGCAUCGUCUGCUAUGCCCCUUUCUCUCAUGGUUGUGACUUGUAAGGAGUAUAUUUGUUCGAACAAUUUGAGAUGGUUCUUUGAAAUAGCUACAAUCCGAGAUUGCUGAGUGUCAGCCACUUUGGUCAUAGUUUGACUGAA